AACAAACCGAAAGGGAAAGAAAAAAACAGCAAUAAGGGCAUUUCGCAAAUACCAAAUCCUAAAUUCUUAUCUAGGGUUGCGAACAAAGCUGGAAGGAAAAGGUUCUAAGGAGACUGCCGUAUUUCCCAGCAGCCCCACCUCCUGCAGUAUCCAGGCCCACUCACCACCCCGCCCCCCGCUCCGUGAACUUAGUGCGCAGCCCCCGACCACGAAGGUGCCUCAGUUGCCAGAGCUUCCGCAGCGCUGGCAUGGCCUUUUAAAAUGUGAGAUCACAUGACUUCUCUGCUGGAAAUGCUCCAGUGGUUUCCAGUAAGAGGCCCCUAUGCCUCUCCUGUGCUCCCCCCUAUGCUGCUCCAGCGACCUGCCCUCUUCACGCAGAGGCCUCUGCACAGCACAGCUGCAUCCGGGUCUUUGCACUCACCACUUCCUCGAGGCUGUCCAUGCUGCAGGUACCACUUAUUCGCUGGUCAGUUGUCAGCAGUCCUGGCCUACAAGGAUCAGACAUGUACAGGGCAUCUCAGAAUAUACCCCUUCAAUAAAGAGACUUCUGUGUUU